rnacentral:tRNA from 1 species
UCUCGGAUCGUCUAACGGCAGGACGCUAUCCUUUGAAGGUAGAAAUGUAGGUUCGAUCCCCACUCCGAGAUC